GGAGCGACACGGCAAUGGCGUCUCGUCUGUGCCGCGUUUGUUUGGCUGCUGGCGUCCCUGGAAUAUCUGAGACGAAAAUGGCGUAUGGAACUAGCCGCAGAUCGAUUAUGGAUAUGCUAAGAUCUACAAUCAAGCUGAGGAAUCCCUUCAAUCAAGCUGAGGAUCGCUUCCGUCAAGCUGAGGAAUCGCUACAAGGUCCGCCCAACCCAUCAAAGGUUGGUUAAAUCAAAGAACUGUUCCAAUGGCGGAUCCAGAAGACAUCUCAGGGUAGGAGCUGUUGUGGGUUUCGCUAUGCUUCACGCUGCUGAAGCUAACGCUGUUGAAGGCCAACGCUAGGCCUCUCGCUUCUGUUUUUUUUUUUUUUGACUCCGCCGUGGGUCAAUGAGCUGAGAAGGAUUCUGCUGCUGCAAUCCUUCAGGUUUAUGGGGGGUUUGUGCCGUUUGAAGCACAUGUCUUAUGACCUUUAGAAAUUUAGGUGUAAUUGGUGUUAGAAUCUGAAGUUAAUACUUUGAAAGAUGGUUGCCAAGUAUUUGGCAAAUACAAUUUAGGAUUAAGUCAUUAAGCUAAGGCAUAGUAAAUAUCACUAUAAUAAACCUUGGUAUUUGGGUAAAAAUGGUCUCAUUUACAUUUGAACUUGCAUACCUUUUUUAUUUUUUGUAUCUACUUAAUAAUUUGAAAUGGAGACAGGGUCCAUACUUUAAUAAUUCAAAAAACUCAAAGAAAUUUUAUUUACGUUCAACAAUUUAAAUUAUAAAGUAAAAACCAAUUUAGUUUUGCGCCGAAACCAUGCGCGGCCUCCUGCAACUUCAUUUCUUCUGGACAAGGACUCUGCAAUUUAAUUUCUUCUGGAUGAUGACAGCCAAGGGUGAGAUCUUCUGGCGCUGAAGAUCAGAGGUCACAGAGGUAAUGUUCACACUGUCUAAUCCAUCUCUUAUUUGCAGGUUUUCAGCUGAAAUUAACUCCAUGUUUUUCUAACAGAGAUGACCCAGUGAGACCUGUCUUUCAGUGUAUAAGUCUGUUUUUAACCCAGUUUCUCUCCUAGACUAAGCCACUGGCUGACUUUUUGUUGCACUUAACUAUUGUUUCUUUUAGAUAAAGCCACCAAAGGAGCUUCUACUGCAACUAAUUUUCUUUUCUCCUAUAGAACUACUCCUGGAGUUUUUCUUUUUCUGUCUCCCUCUGCUCUUUCCUUUCAAAUCCCCUGGGGGUAGUGACAGAUGGCCUUUCUUACAAAGCCAACUUCUGGUUUUGCUGGAGGGUUCUUCCUGUUAAAAGGAAGCAUUUCCUCUCCACUGUCAUUACAUGCUUCCUCAAUAUGAGGCAUUGCUUUAGCUUACUCAACUUUUAAAUAAUUGGUGCAGUAUUCAUUUUUGGAAUGACUUCCUGUUAAAGGGAAGUUUUUCUUUCACUGUCACCACAUGAAUCCUCAAUAUGAGGCAUAGAUUCAGCUUGCUUUACUUUGAACCUAUUUAAACAAUUGGUGUAGUAUUAGCUUUUAAUUUGGAAAGUUUUCCUGUUAAAGGGAAGUAUUUCUUUCACUGUAACCACAUGGUUCCUCAAUAUGAGGCAUUGCUUAAGCUUACUCUACUUUUAAGCAAUUAGUGCAGUGUUAAUUUUUGGAAAGUCUUCCUGUUAAAGGGAAAUUUUCUCUCCACUGUGAUCACAUGAAUCCUCAAUAUGAGUCAUUGUUUAAGCUUAGUUACUUUAGUUUUGACCAAUUUAAAUAGUUGGUGCAGUGCUAGCUUUUUCUUUGGGAAGUCUUCCUGUUAAAGGGAAGUUUUUCCUCCACUGUCACCACAAGAAUCCUCAAUAUGAAUCAUUGCUUUUGCUUACUUUUAAUUUUAACCAAUAGAUUGAUGCAGACUUUGGAAAGUCUUCUUGUUAAAGGGAAGUUUUUUCCUCCACUCUUACCACAUGGAUCCUCAAUAAGCUUAUUUUCCUUUAAACCAAUUUAAAUUGGUGCAGUGUUAAUUUUUGGAAAGUCUUUCUGUUAAAGGGAGGUUUUUCCUUCACUGUUGCCACAUGAAGCCUCAAAAUGAGGAUUUAGCUGACUUUGCUUUAGCUUUAUUUUACUUGGCUUUUAACCAAUUUAAACAACUUGUGCAGUGUUAGGUUUUUCUUUGGGAAGUCUUCCCGUUAAAGGGAAGUUUUUCCUUCACUGUCACCACAUUGAGCCUCAAUAUGAGGCAUUGCUUAAGUUUAGGUAACUUAAAUAAAGUUUGACAACUGGUGUUCUAGUUCUGGAAAAUCUUCCUGUUAAAGGGAAGUUUUCCUUUCCACUGUAACUACAUGCAUGUUAAGUAUAAGGCAUUGCCUAAGCUUACUUAUGUAGCUUUUAACCAAUUUAAAUAACUGGUGCAGUGUUUACAUUCUUGGAGAAACUUCCUGUUAAAAGGAAGUUUUUCCUUUGCACUGUCACCACAUGCCUCCUCAGUGAGAGGCUUUAGCUCACAACUUUUAACAAAUAUUUGAUAACUGCAGUGCUUUUUUUUUUUUUUUUGUCUUCCUGUUAAAGGGAAGCUUUUCCUCUCCACAUGCAUCUACAGUAUGUCUCUGGUGAUGGAGAAUAGUUUUGAGCUCAAGGUUGGAGAAUUUAAGGCCUUGUCAACACCACAUGAUGUCUCUAGUGAUGGAGAGUAGUUUUGAGCUCAAGGUUGGGGAAUUUAAGGCCUUGUCAACACCACAUGAUGUCUCUAGUGAUGGAGAGUAGUUUUGAGCUCAAGGUUGGGGAAUUUAAGGCCUUGUCAACACCACAUGAUGUCUCUGGUGAUGGAGAGUAGUUUUGAGCUCAAGGUUGGGGAAUUUAAGGCCUUGUCAACACCACAUGGUAUCUGGACUGAGAAGAUUUGGAAACUGAUCAACUGUUUUUGUUGAGAUGGAGCCUCUGCAGACAUGUGAUGGCCUCAAACAUUUAGGAAAUAUGGAUAUCAAAAUGGUCGCCGUGGUACUGGACUUUGAACCCAACAUUAGGAAAUGUGGCUUGCUUCUUCCUGUAGCCACUCCUCAGGGAUUUUAAGUAAUCGGAUGAGUUCAAGGACAUUGGUAAGGAACAAGUACAACAAAGCGGUCAAUCCAUUACAUGGAGGAAAAACGCGAAAAAACGGUAUGUUCUGAUCAUGGGUAUGGUAACUGGAAUGGAUUUUGGAUUCACUCGGCGCAGGAAAAACACGGUAGGCUAUAUGAAAUGCAGGUGUUCUGAUUUUGGGUACAGCAAUUGGAACAGAUCUUGGAGACACAGGAAAAACAUGGUAGGCUAUAUGAAAUGUAUGUGUUGUGAUCAUGGGCAUGGUAACUGGAAUGGAUUUUGAAUUAAUUUCUGAUCUUGAGUAAUGUUUGAAAUGCAUGUAAUAUGUCAUAGUAUUAGAAAUACCUGUGUAGAAUCCAUUAUUUCUUCAGAUGAUGCCCACCGACUACACCUGAGAACGACGGGAUGGACGGGCUUUCUUCACCCCUGACCACUGCUGAUGGAAGACCUUAGUGACCCUACCAUCGGGCUGAGCAGUCUUCGAGAAAUGCUGCAGGAAUCCUCCUGGACCGUCUCAUUUCGCCCUUCGCCCCUCCAUCGACCGGAGAAGUUCUUAAUCAUUCCAUCGGACAGAAGAGGACUUCAUCGCCGCCCCCUCAUUGAUGGAUGACCUUAGUGACCCUACCAUUGUGCUGAGCAGUCUUCCUCGAGAAAUGCUGCAGGAAUACUCCUGGAUUCUUGUCUGAUUUCGCUCUUCAUCAACCAACGGAGAAGUUCAUCAUUCCACCGAACAUCGAACAGAAGAGGACUUCAUCGCCCCUCUGGACCCCCCAUUGAUGGAUGACCUACCAUUGGACUAGGCAGGUUUUCUGCAGGAAACCCUGCAAGUGUUCUCAUGUGAGCAGGAAUCUUCCUGGAUCAUCUUUUACCAUUCAUCGCCAGGCCCCAACCACGGAUGGAAAUGGAUUUCAUCGCCACUGACGGAAGGAGAAUUUUGUUUAUGGACUCUUUACAGACUUCAUUUUAUUUGUUUUUAUUUUGGGUAUUUAAAAUGUCUUCCAGUGUUAAAUGUUAGUUAGAAUUGAUUGUUUAUCAAUGUGUUUUUGUUUGUUCUCUCCAUAGAAGCCACACUUGGUUUGGUGUUAUGAUUGGCUGUCGUCCCUUCCUGGAGGAGCACAUUGGUUGACAUGAUGCUGCCAUCACCAAACAGUUCUCCCACUCCUGCUGUUAACUUGUCACUUCCAUGAACAUAGAAAGUUCUCCUGAUCAGGUGACCUAUUGUGUCUCUGCUCUGUCUUCUCUCAGCUCCCGUCAGUCGUGGCAGAUGGCUGCUGGUAC